GCGGGAGUGGUGAAAUUGGUAUACACGCCAGAUUUAGGUUCUGGUGCCGAGAGGCGUGAGGGUUCAAGUCCCUUCUCCCGUAC
rnacentral:tRNA from 2 species